CCGACUCUCGGCAACGGAUAUCUCGGCUCUCGCAUCGAUGAAGAACGUAGCGAAAUGCGAUACCUGGUGUGAAUUGCAGAAUCCCGCGAACCAUCGAGUCUUUGAACGCAAGUUGCGCCCGAGGCCACUCGGCCGAGGGCACGCCUGCCUGGGCGUCACGC
rnacentral:rRNA from 1 species